AUUGAACGCUGGCGGCAUGCCUAACACAUGCAAGUCGAACGAGUGGCGGACGGGUGAGUAAUGUCUGGGAAACUGCCUGAUGGGGGGGGAUAACUACUGGAAACGGUCGCUAAUACCGCAUACCAUCAGAUGUGCCCAGAUGGGAUUAGCUGGUGGGUGGGGUAACGGCUCACCAGGGCGACGAUCCCCAGCUGGUCUGAGAGGGUGACCAGCCACACUGGAACGGAAACACGGUCAAGACUCCUACGGGAGGCGGCAGUGGGGAAUAUUGCACAAUGGGGGCAAGCCUGAUGCAGCCAGGCCGCGUGUAUGAAGAAGGCCUUCGGGUUGUAAAGUACUUUCAGCGGGGAGGCGUUACCCGCAGAAGAAGCACCGGCUAACUCCGUGCCAGCAGCCGCGGUAAUUC
rnacentral:rRNA from 1 species